AUAAAAGCCCUAAAACCCCUCAAAACCUCAAUCUUUAAAAGCCCAAAAUGCCCCUCGCGAACAUUAAAAUUCCCUCCCGCUCCCUUCUCCCCCUCCUCUCCGCCGCUCGUCGCUACUCCCUCUCCGGCGCUGGCUCCUCCGGUGCUGAGAACCGGGCCGAGAAGCUCAAUCGUAUCGCUGAUGAGCUCCUAGAUCUUAAUAAGAUCGAGCGGCAGGACUACUCCAUCCUCUUCCGCCUGAAGCUUGGCCUUGAUCGCUGGGGUGCUGUCACUGAUGUCCCGCCGGCGGUUGGAGGAGCCGGUUCUCCAGAUUCGGUGGCGGCGGCAACGGAGGUGAAGGAGAAGACAGCGUUCGAUGUGAAGCUGGAGAAGUUUGAUGCUGCGGCGAAGAUUAAGGUGAUCAAAGAGGUCAGGGCUUUUACGGAUCUGGGCCUGAAGGAGGCGAAAGAGAUUGUGGAAAAAGCUCCUGUAGUGGUGAAGAAGGGCGUGACGAAGGAGGAGGCCGAGGCGAUAGCGGCGAAGCUUAAGGAAGUUGGCGCCACCGUUGUUCUGGAGUGAGGAGAGAUACUCUGGACUCUGGAGGUUUCUUCUCAUGAUAAAAAACUUGUGAUGCACAUUGUGAUUGAAGUGGGAAAAGGCUGGUCCUUCAUUGUCUGAUGUAUUUCUUUCAAUUGACAGCUUGGCAGUGGUCCCUUCUAAACUUUCAAUCAAAUUGUAUUACAUUGGACUUGUUUGUUUCUUUGAAGCCAUUUGUGUUAAUUUUCUGGUUAGCUUUCGGUGUAU